UUCAAUUUGGCAGAAAAUUGCGAUAAAUUUAGAAUUUAUUUAUGAUACUUGAAAAUCAGUUGAAA
rnacentral:tRNA from 1 species